rnacentral:rRNA from 1 species
UACGAAGGGAGCUAGCGUUGUUCGGAAUCACUGGGCGUAAAGCGCACGUAGGCGGAUGUGUCAGUCAGGGGUGAAAUCCCGGAGCUCAACUUCGGAACUGCCUUUGAUACAGCACAUCUGGAGUCCGGAAGAGGUGGGUGGAAUUCCUAGUGUAGAGGUGAAAUUCGUAGAUAUUAGGAAGAACACCGGUGGCGAAGGCGGCCCACUGGUCCGGUACUGACGC